GUUUUACUCGCCCCACCCACCACUCCCGGAAAUCUGCUGGUGGGGACUGGUAAUAGUCCCGGGGUUGCGAGCCCUAGAGCUGGGGUGCCGGAAGAGCUGUGCACGGGACCGUGGCUAACCAUGCGCGCUGCUUCCACCGCCGGACCCUGGUCCGUAAGACUAAGAAAAACCACAGGAAGCGUCCACAAAAAUUGAUGCUGAGCAAGGACAGAAGAGGAUCUUGGGGCUUUACUCGUAAGGCGGACUAUGUUAUCCUCAUUUUCAAAAACAAAAAGAAAAUGAAGAAAGAAAAGAAAAAAAAGAAUGUAAAGAAGAAAAAAAAGAAAAGAACAAAGCCUGCACACUUUUAUUAGCCUGUAUUUUGAGACCAUUGUCAGGCAUAAGGUAGUCCCUCUUAAAAGGAUGCAGCUGCCAACCUGUUGAGACUUUGUCCAGCUACCAAGUUUAUGUUUAAGGAACGGCCUUUGGGCAACCCAGAAACAUUGGGGAAAACAACACCUGAAUAAAUUUGCAUGCUGAGGAUAACAUAAAAUGAUAGGAGUCAAUUCAAUGCAAAGCUUUACUGAAAGCAAAAGAGGACUAACAUACAACUCAGGCAUACACGCUGAAAAAAAUCAAAUAAAUGUUGUUUUGGCAUUUUAUAUUCCAUUCCUUUCUAUAAAAUUGAUUCUUAAAACAAACAAAAAUCCUUACCUACUGUCUUGGAAUUAAUUAUAUAUAUAUCCAUUCCUAGGCAAAAGAGUGGUAAAGGCUAGGCAAUCAGAGUUAAGUGACUUGCCCAGGGUCUCAUGGCUAGGAAGUCUCUGAGGCCAAAUUUGAACCCAGGACUUCUCAUCUCCAGACCUAGUGCUCAAACCACUGAGACACCCAACUAUUCCCCGCUGUAAUUGAUUCUAUUCUGCAACUGCCUGGGCCAAUUUGCUUUCUUUCUCCUUUAAAAAUACUAAUCAAUGAAUUUAUUAUGGAUAUAAACUGAUUUUAUACUCUACUUGCUGUACUAAAAAGUAUCUUUUGUUUAUAUAAUUGAAGGGAAGCUCAUAAGUGAACUUCUCUUCAGGCCAGGUGCAAGGAUGCCAAGGAGACUCUUGUUAUACAAAAAUAAACUAUUGAGAAUAUAAGGAUAUACAAGGAUUUCUAACUCUAAGGGAUUCUAACCCCACCCAAAUAAAACUCCCUGGUUCCACAAGGAACAACUUCUCCUGUUUCCUGUGGGAAGGAAAUCACUUUAAAAGACUGAUGAUCCUUCCUGAUCUGACUAACCCAAAUUUUCCCUAUUCUUCAAUAAACUAAUACUAUUUCCUUAUAAGAAGUAUAUAAUUCUUAACUUUGUCUCCAAGUUAUAAAAAUAAUAAAGGCUACCUGGCUGAGCCUCAGCAAGAACCAAGUUAGGACUCUGAGCCUUAAUAGACUCAGAGUCCAAAUCAAAGACCAGGUCUUUCUUUGGUCUCCCCUGUAAAGAUUAAAUUUUAGGGAAUAUGGGGAGACUGAGGCAUCUGAGGCAGGUAGAAAUUAGUUUCUCUCUGCAAGGAGUAUUAUAUUUUUUAGAGGUUUAUUAAAGGUUAAAGAUUAAAGAAUAUACAAGUAAGAAACAUGUGCCUAGGCCAGAGACCUAGACAAAAUAACCUCACAUCACGCAAGAGACCGCCUGCUCCAAAACGGAAGUCCAAAAAGAGCCAAGAGAGAGCGACCCUCAAAAGCCUUUGAAUCAGCUUAAAUACCUUCUUGAUCUCAGCCCAGGUGAGAUUACAAGGCAUUCUGGAGAAGUGGAGCAAAGGCUCGUGGGGAUUGUAGUCCUGUAUUUGAGUCUAUUUUUUACAUUCCCCCGUGUGAUCAUUUUUGGAAAAAUUAAUUUUUCCCCAAAAGAGAGUUAAUCCUGUCUUUAGUCUAGUGAGUUACUAAGUAAGGGUACUUAAGUUAUUGUUAUUCCAAAGUGUUAACUCUAACUAGUCAAAGAGAACAAAGGAUUCCCUUUUCUCAAGUCCAAACUCAGAACAGACAAAGAGAACCAAGAAUUUCCUUUCACAAAAUGGAAAGUAGAAGGUACUGCUCUGUGCUCAAACCCUCCUCAGAAAAGGUGAGCAAGUGCCUGUCUCCAAGAAUGGAUCAGCUCUGCAGCUGUCUCUUAAUGGCGCCAAUACUGGCUUUCUUUCUGGGCUCAGGGACAGAGGAGCUUCUUAGGGCUCUUUCUGGCCUGUGACCUCUCCCAUGACUUGGAGAUUCCAGGGUACCCCAUGCUCCACUACAAAGUGACUGGCUCAGGGUCUCACAGCAAGAAAGUGUCUGAUUUCAGAUGGGAACCUAGGCCCUUCCAUCUCUUGACCUGGCUCUCAAUCCCUGGAGCUGCUGAGCUACCCCCCCUAGUCCUGUAGAAUGAAGGGAGAUCUGGGGUCUUGCUAAGAAUCCAUCCAAGAUGCAGGUGGGUGCCAUGAAGUCUGUUCUCUCUGCAUCCUUGGCUGUCUUUUCGGAGGUCAGGUCUGCUAUCACGGUGACCCUCACUAGUCACAAGAUGGAAGGAGGGGGCUCUCCACAUUUCAUCCAAACCUACUGUUUUCUGUCAUCCAUAAUCCUGUGGACUUUUCCAAUUCUGUUUUCCAUCUACGAUGCUGCCUGAUCUUUGUUCUCUUGUUCUUCUCUGGAUCAUAUGAAGGUGAGGAAGGCCUGCCUGGUGGUCUUUCCAUUUCCUGGUAUUUUUCCCUGAGUUGGUUUUAGAGCACCUUUAGAAGCACUUUUACAGCCACCUUCAAUGGGAGACUGUUUGAGUGGUCUCAGAACUUUUGGGUCUAGUCUUAGAACAAUGGUUUCCAUUCCUCUCUCAGAACCAGCCUAAACUUAGAGCAACCCAGGACUUUCUCUGGGGGCUUCUAAGGGUCUGCCUUUAGCCCACAGGCAUUCCCACAUUUGGUAUAGUCAGAGUUUCACUGUGUAAGAAUUCUGUUAUGGUCACUAACACUUGUAUUUUAACUUAGGCUUUCCCUUUGGAAGGCUUCCAGGGGCCUCCCUCCAGGACCAGGUUCAGUAAGACAAGCCCCUGAUGGGUCCUAAAAUCGGGUUUAUUGUUUCUUUUUCCCAAAGGGUUUCCCAUACAUCUAUCCAUAAAGCUUUGCUCCAACCAGCAUGUCAUUGAAUGAGGUCUGAGUGGUACCAAAGGCUUCCUUCUCUUCUCCCUUUGGUUUGACUGUCAUGAGUUCAGGAAAGGCCUUUAGGGGGGCCAAGUGGAGGGAACUGUAAGCCACUGGACUGGAAUGAUCCCUCUGGAUGGAAUGAAUGCAGAGAACGAGCCAUUAGAGAACUCCUAGUGGAAUGGAAUCAGUGGGGGACUGGAAAUAACAAGAGCACCCAAGGAGCAACCGUAAGGGUCUUUAAUCCCAAGGCAAGGGGAUUGCAACUCAGGCUCAUCUGCCAGCUGUAGAGUACAGGAACCCCCAAAGAGGGCCAGAAGCUGCAGGGUAGGAAGACACUUGUGUAGGAGGAGUGAUUCACAGCUCCCUGGAUCAAAGGGAUCCAGGUGGGAUUACCAUCUGUUUUUUGAAGUCUUUACCUUCUCUUAGUAACCACUCUAAAGGUAGAAGGUCCGGCACCUAACACAUGGGAAUUAAGUGAUUUGCCCAGGGCCACAUAGCUGGGAAGUGUCUGAGGUCACAUUUGACCCCAGGUCCUUCCAACUCCAGACCUGGAGCUCAGAUCUAUUGAGCCACCCAGCUCUCCCUGGGAUCUGAACAACUCAAGGGCUCCAGGUGUGAUCCCUACAUUCUCAUUAGUAUCUCCAGACCUUCUCCAGCUUUGAGGCAGUGAAGUGCAGGUGCCCCCCUCUGAUAACUGCAUUUAGGAGCCCUUUAAAGGAAAAGGAUUCACUGAGCUCUCAGCAAGUAUAGCUAAGUGUUGGUUCUCUCAGAAAGCAGACCUCUGGGGACAUAGAUAUGCCGGAAAAGAACUACCCUCCUUCCCAGGGUUCCCCAGUGAUUCAUCAUAGAAGCAAUUGUAUGAGGAAUGAGAAGCCAGAAGUGGAGGAAAUGAACCCCACCUCCCCUGGGCCUAAGGAUGGUACCCUAGAGAGCACCCUACUCGAGGGAAUGGCAGCAUUUGGAAUUAGUCACUGGAAUAGAAAGUGAUUCUCCCCUGCCCCCUCUCUACCCCAUACUAGGCAGCAGUGGUGUUCCUCAAGGCAUUUGUUUCUACUGUCAUGAAAGCCUGAGAACAGCCAGGUGGACCAAUAGAUAGAACAUAAGACUUGGCGUUGCAAAGACCCAAGUUCAAAUCCAGCCUCAGAAACUUGCUAGCUAUGGGACCCCGGGCAAGUUCUUUAGCCCAGUUUGUCUCACUUUCCCCCUCUAUAAAAUGGGAAUCAUAACAGCACCUACCCCCUCUGGUGGUUGGAAGGACAAACUGAGGUGAUGUUUAGCACAGUGCCCAGCAGAGAUGGUGCCAUAUCAAUGCUCAUUCUAGGACUAAAUAAUGAUUUUGGGACAUGAGUCAAGUCAUAACCCUACAGCUCAUGUGUGUUUAGAGCUAUGACUUACCAAGUCAUUCACUUGUAAACUAGAAAGUGCCCAAAGCCUUUGGGACUUGUGUUUAUAUGGGGUUUUUUUGCUGCUAAAGGAGGUAAGAAAAAUGCAAGCAACAUUCUGAAGAUGCCAAACCAUUUUGACUAGAUGUACUCAGCCAGGAACCCAGCAUGUUCAACAGUCACUAAAGCCUGAGGCAUUAUUUGAAUAACUUCCUUAGAAUUCAUUGUGAUCCAAACAGAUAUAAAGAAAAAAGAAAUUAUUAGAAGGAUUGGCUUUGGCCAGAAGCUAGAAUUAUACUAUACCAUUGUAAGAAUUUAAAUGUCAGUUUUUAUGCUAAUAUGAAAGUUCAUGUGGUUGCUGAAUUUAAAAAUUAAUGCGUAAGUCACAAGUCUGUUAGCCACUCUUAACAAUUUAGUUUAACAGAGAUAUAUAGUAAAAGAGAGAAAUGUAGGAAGUAAAUUGCCUAGCUAGAUACCCUGUAAUUUCUGUCUGAAGAAGUUCACCUCACCUCUUGGCAAGGGCUCUCAAAUCCCGACCUCCACAUGGAGUCAUGGUAGUCUCUGAGCCAGAAGUCCCAGUGGUGUCUUCAGCAAGGGUUCCACCAACACAGCCUCCUCCAGGAAAGGAAGGCCUCUCCAGAACCAAUCUCUCUAGAAGCCAGGAAAAGAAGGCCAGCUACUCACCUAGCAAGCUGACACAGGAUCCAGGGAAAGAAUCUCCUCCUUCAGUUCAGCUCACCCACACAGAGUGUCCAAAGACAAACUCCAAAGAAGAAGAAAUUCAAAGGAGAAGCCCCUUGAACAGGAAGUUCAGGACUUUUUAUAGUCCUUUUUCCACAUCACUUCCUAUCACUUCCCCACUUUACAGGAACCAAUCCCAGUCUUUCAAUUUGCCUAGCAUGGACCAAGGGCCUCUGGAAUUGUCACCCACUCUAGCAAGUGAUGUGUGAACUCUCUUAGUGUCAGGAAGGGGUACUUUAAGUUUUUAUUUUGAUUAGUUAAAAAUAGGCAAGAGGAAGGUUAAUCCUAUCUUCACGCCAUGUUGGGGAAACCCAGAGAUUAGGUAUUUAUUUUUUAAAAACCCUUUCCCUCUGUCUUGGAAUCUAUAUCAGUUCUAAGGCAGAAUUGCAGCAAAAAUUAGGCAAUUGGGCUUAAGUGACUUGCCCAGGGUCACACAGCUAGGAAAUAUCUUGAACCCAACUGCAGACCUCCCAAUUGCAGGCCUGGAUCUAUCUACUGAACCAUCUAGUUGGGUCUAGAAUGAGAAGUUUAACUGGAGGCUCCUGGAGGCAGUCAAGAUGGCAGAAAAAGAGGAAUCAAUUAAGCCUAACUCACCACUUUCCCUUCUCCAUAAAUGACCUGGAAAAUGCACCCAUUCAAAUGCUGACUGGAAAAAAACAAGAAAAAGUCACAACAAACCAUUUUCCAAUCUAGGACACCUUAAUGAGACAGAAAUACAGGAUGAAAGACAUUAUCUGUCCAGGUAUACCUGGAGCAUUCCAGUGCCCAAGAAUGUAAGAAAGACUGGGGAAAAGCAUCAAAGCAGAAAGAGAUCCAUGAACAAAAUGAAUACUGGAUCCAUCUCAUAGGAGAUCUUGAAGGAAAGGACAGAUAGUCCCUUAUGAAGACCUUUUGGUUCAGGGAUAUAGAACAUGUUAUGAGUCCCAUCCAAUGUAAUCCAACCCAAGAAAUAUUUCUUGAGCACCUGUGAGAUACCAGCCACCAUGUUAACUGCUGGAGAGCUAAUGAAUACAAAGAGAUACCUCCUGCCCUAAAGGGGCUCACAAGCUAAUGGAGAGAAACAAUACACAAAAAAAGCAAGAAAGUCAGGGUAGACUGCAGGGGUAUCCUGAACGGGGCCAUCUUGUUCUGUAGACUUGGGUGGAGAGAAUACAGAUGCCCAGCCCUGCUCUCUCUCAAGGAAAGCAUUGUGUGGAGUUGGUCUCCAACCCUCCAACUCUCUGGUCAGAGGUGAGAAGAGGCUGAAGGAGGUGAUUUCAAUCAAGGCCUGAAUGAACAGCUUGCAGGUGAGUUAAGCAGUAAGGAGCUUAAACUAGUGGGAGGAGCAUCUUGUUUGGAGGAGUCCAAAUAGGCAGAGUCCAUGGGUAUAUGGAGAAUCCCAGCCUGAGAGUUGGGGGAUGUGUGAUUUCUCAGAGUUCACACCUCUCUGAAGCUACCAUAAAUAGCAGCUCCUCAGUGGCACUCUCAGAACUGGGAGUCGGCAACAGCAGCACAGAGGAGAAGCUGGGGAAGGAAGGAGCAUGGAGGAGCCCAGUGAACGAGACAGGAGUAUUCUUGGACUCUAUGAUAGUCUCCUCAUCAGUCUGCAGAACCUCCUCACCUGUCCAGUCUGCAAAAGUUAUUACGAUAAACCUGUAACCUUAUUUAGCGGCCACACCUUAUGUCAGUCCUGCCUUCCCCAAGAAUCCCAAACUGUCCACAUCAAGACCGACUGGAGGAUACAGAAUAUGGCAAACCUGGUCAAGGUGUUGAAACCAAGCCUGGAAGAGCCUCAAUCUGUCUCAGAGAGAUAGUGCUUCAGGCAUGAUGAACCCUUCACCCUCCUCUGUGAAGAAGACAAGCAGGAAAUCUGCCAGAUCUGCAAGUUCUCCAUCCUUCACAGGGGCCAUAACCUGACCCAACUACAAGACCUAGAAGCAUGUCUGGAGGUAAGUUGGCCAAACAAGCCAUCUUAGACCUGUGGGCCACCACUGAAUUCUCUUCCCCCGGCCUCUCAUAGAGAAGAAUACAGGAAGCACCACCAUCCAUCCUGUGUUCAGUCCACCCCCAUCCAUCCCCUCUGCUGUCCUCCCUGGAAAACAAGUCUCAGUUUCCCAUGGACAGCAUCAUGAGGAAGACAGAAUCCAAGAUGGAAGGAAUCCCUCAACUGGAGCAUCUUCCCAGCCUACAUUCUGUCAUGCCUGCCACCUGCUGGCCUAUUUGGUGACUAACCUUGAAUAAAGUUUCUUCUCUGACCUAUUGGA